GGAGGGAAGAUCUGGGAUGCCUUCUCCAGCACCCAGCCUAUCAUGCUUUUAAAAUAGAGCUCAAAAAUAAGCAAAAUGAAACACCAUGUUAUUAUUUCAUAUAUAUUUGUGAUAUAAGCAUAUAUAUUUAAAAGCAGUAGAACGAUAUACAACAUUUAGGGCUGUGCUUACCUUUGGAGAAUGCACUAGGGAUUGGACAACUGAAUUUAAAGGCAAGUUAAAGUUCAAUAUUUUGAACAAUGUUUAAAUCAAGAUGAGCGAGAAGACAGAACUGUUAAAAGGUUUUAUUUUACAGCCAAGUGAAGGAUUCAGCUAUGUCCCAAAGGAUUAAACAAGAUGGUAUGCUUAAUAAUUCCUAGCUUCUAUGAAACUCCCUGAUUAUGAAGUGUACUUUCAUUCUAUAGAACUACUCCUGAUUUCAUCAGGAAACUCUGAUCUGAAACUCAAUUUACAGAAAUAUUAAAAAUGAAUUUUCAACUAAA
rnacentral:lncRNA from 1 species